rnacentral:misc_RNA from 3 species
UACCGAGUGCGGGCCCUCUGGGUCCAACCUCCCAUCCGUGUCUAUCUGUACCCUGUUGCUUCGGCGUGGCCACGGCCCGCCGAAGACUAACAUUUGAACACUGUCUGAAGUUUGCAGUCUGAGUUUUUAGUUAAACAAUAAUUAAAACUUUCAACAACGGAUCUCUUGGUUCCGGCAUCGAUGAAGAACGCAGCGAAAUGCGAUAAUUAAUGUGAAUUGCAGAAUUCAGUGAAUCAUCGAGUCUUUGAACGCACAUUGCGCCCCCUGGUAUUCCGGGGGGCAUGCCUGUCCGAGCGUCAUUGCUGCCCUCAAGCACGGCUUGUGUGUUGGGCUUCCGUCCCUGGUAACGGGGACGGGCCCAAAAGGCAGUGGCGGCACCAUGUCUGGUCCUCGAGCGUAUGGGGCUUUGUCACCCGCUCCCGUAGGUCCAGCUGGCAGCUAGCCUCGCAACCAAUCUUUUUAACCAGGUUGACCUCGGAUCAGGUAGGGAUACCCGCUGAACUUAAGCAUAUCA